AUUGAACGCUGGCGGCAGGCCUAACACAUGCAAGUCGAGCGUGAAAGUCCUUCGGGAUGAGUAAAGCGGCGGACGGGUGAGUAACGCGUAGGAAUCUACCUGAUAGUGGGGGAUAACGUUUCGAAAGGAACGCUAAUACCGCAUACGUUCUGAGGAAGAAAGCAGGGGCUCGCAAGACCUUGCGCUAUCAGAUGAGCCUGCGUCCGAUUAGCUAGUUGGUGGGGUAAAGGCCUACCAAGGCGACGAUCGGUAACUGGUCUGAGAGGAUGAUCAGUCACACUGGAACUGAGACACGGUCCAGACUCCUACGGGAGGCAGCAGUGGGGAAUAUUGGACAAAUGGGGGGCGAACCCUGAUCCAGCCAUGCCGCGUGUGUGAAGAAGGCCUCGGUUGUAAG
rnacentral:rRNA from 1 species